GGGUCUCCGUCUGUCCCCCAGGCUGGAGUGCAGUGAUGUGAUCUCAGCUCACUGCAGCCUUGAUCUCCAGGGCUCAAAGGAACCUCCCGCCUCCCAUGUAGCUAGACUACAGGGUCUCAGUAAUUAGGGCACAGUAUUACAAAUGGCCCAGAAAACCCAGAAAUUUCCCAUCCAAUUCAAGGGAGAUCUGACUCCAGGCAAACAAGGCUGUGUUGCUGCUGGCAGCAAAGUUCCAGAAUGAGGCAGGAUUCCCAGGAGGACAGCCUGAUGCUGAGGCCGAUGACUUCCCAUGUUGCAAAGCAGCAGAGAUGCGCUUUUGAUGAUGGCCAGCCGGUUCCCUAGUGUGGCUGACUGAGGGCUGAGGGUAUCUGGGCUCAUGGUGACUGCAGAAUCAACCCCAAGACUGGUGGCAUCGUCAUGCUUGGCUGGAGUGACGGCACGCUCAACCCCAACAGGGCGCGGUUCGGCAGCCUGGAAAUCUAUGAUGUUGGUAUACUCUUCUUCUCCCUGAGCGUUCUUGAGUAUCCAGGAAGGAGGAGGGUCCUGGUGCAAGCCCCAGGGGCCAUUUCCAAAGUCCCUACCUUUGGCAUGACUCUGGCCCCUUGGUCUCUGGUAUGACAGUGGACGUUUGAGAGCCUGACCUCCUUUUCAGAUCAUACCUUGCACACACUGCCGUCCUCAUAAAACCUCGAAUGGGGUCUUUAAGGCCCCUUGGCCCAUCCCCUUCCCCAUUGUACUUCAUCCUCCUGGUGAGCUCUGUUGGGUUGGUUACUUGCUUUUACUCUUUUUUCGUUUUGUUUUUUUGAGACAGUCUCCCUUUGUCACCUAGGCUGGACUGCCGUGG